CCCGGUAAACGGCGGCCGUAACUAUAACGGUCCUAAGGUAGCGAAAUUCCUUGUCGGGUAAGUUCCGACCUGCACGAAUGGCGUAAUGAUGGCCAGGCUGUCUCCACCCGAGACUCAGUGAAAUUGAACUCGCUGUGAAGAUGCAGUGUACCCGCGGCAAGACGGAAAGACCCCGUGAACCUUUACUAUAGCUUGACACUGAACAUUGAGCCUUGAUGUGUAGGAUAGGUGGGAGGCUUUGAAGUGUGGACGCCAGUCUGCAUGGAGCCGACCUUGAAAUACCACCCUUUAAUGUUUGAUGUUCUAACGUUGACCCGUGAUCCGGGUUGCGGACAGUGUCUGGUGGGUAGUUUGACUGGGGCGGUCUCCUCCUAAAGAGUAACGGAGGAGCACGAAGGUUGGCUAAUCCUGGUCGGACAUCAGGAGGUUAGUGCAAUGGCAUAAGCCAGCUUGACUGCGAGCGUGACGGCGCGAGCAGGUGCGAAAGCAGGUCAUAGUGAUCCGGUGGUUCUGAAUGGAAGGGCCAUCGCUCAACGGAUAAAAGGUACUCCGGGGAUAACAGGCUGAUACCGCCCAAGAGUUCAUAUCGACGGCGGUGUUUGGCACCUCGAUGUCGGCUCAUCACAUCCUGGGGCUGAAGUAGGUCCCAAGGGUAUGGCUGUUCGCCAUUUAAAGUGGUACGCGAGCUGGGUUUAGAACGUCGUGAGACAGUUCGGUCCCUAUCUGCCGUGGGCGCUGGAGAACUGAGGGGGGCUGCUCCUAGUACGAGAGGACCGGAGUGGACGCAUCACUGGUGUUCGGGUUGUCAUGCCAAUGGCACUGCCCGGUAGCUAAAUGCGGAAGAGAUAAGUGCUGAAAGCAUCUAAGCACGAAACUUGCCCCGAGAUGAGUUCUCCCUGACUCCUUGAGAGUCCUGAAGGAACGUUGAAGACGACGACGUUGAUAGGCCGGGUGUGUAAGCGCAGCGAUGCGUUGAGCUAACCGGUACUAAUGAACCGUGAGG
rnacentral:rRNA from 1 species